CCAUUGAGCCAAACCGGUCCCGGCAUGCUCUCAUCUAUUUUAAACAAAAAUAAAGCAAAGUCAUAUAUAAAGAGAGAAACAGAAAAAGUCAUUGACACAACUUCCAUUAUAAACUCAAACUCACUAAGGAAGACAUUUAGAAAUAGUUAAUAACUUUUUGUUCUUAAAAAAACACUGCAAUAUCUUGUAGUCAUGGGAAAUAACAGGUAAUACACAAUACUUAAUUACAUAUUUUGUUUUUUGAAAUUAGUAUUAAACUAAUUGUAGCAUAUCCAUUUUAGCAGGAAUUAAAAUAUUAAUUGGUUGGGGAUUUGGUAUCUGAAAUAGAUAACAGAACAGUAUAGAAUACUGUUGUAGUUACAGAUUAUUAUACAACUUAGGAAUUGUUGCUAGUAAAUGAAAUUAAUUUAUAUACUAUAAUAUUAAGCAUACAUAUACAUAAAUAUAUAGCUAAUUAAACAUUAUUUUAUGUUAAGGCAUUUUAUAUUUUGAUCAUGGCAGAGCUUUAAUAAAUAAAAGCUUAAAUAAAAAUAAGUUCCUCAAAAAGAAAUAAUUUAAAGAAAUUUAUACAUUCAAUGACUUGCAUAAUGACAAACUGGACAACUUAGAAAUGUUUCUAAUUUUAUUUUUAUUUUAUUAAUAUAAAUAACAAAAUAAAUAAAAGUUAACAAAUAUUAAAUAUUUACGUAUCAAAGACAUUUUACCAUAAACACAAUACUUUAAAAAUAAUAAUCAUACUUUUUAGUUUGUGCACCUUGAAGCUAUGAUCUUAGAAUAUCUAUAAGCAUUUGUUUUAUUUUGUUUUUAACUUAAAAGGCUUUCAAAGGUUAAACUAAGCUUGUUUUUUUAGUCUAAUUACGAAGAGUUUUCUGGAGUUAUAUUUUCUUUCUUGAUGAAAAAAAAGUAUUCUUAGUCAGUCCUUUGGCACUUUUUUGUAACCUAGGAAAGACUGCCCAAAACAACUAUUUUUGGGCUGGUAAUGUUUCUUAGUCUAGUAAUGUUUCAAUAAACCAAGGAGCUAUGUCCACAGACUGGUUUCUGACAGGGUUCACAGCUGCCUGUAGUGGAAUUGGUAAAGAAGUUACAUUGCUAGCAAGGUAUCCAAUAACAUGAGGCUUUUACAGCAGCUUUGUAUUUUUAUCCUUCACAAUAUUUAUUGACAUAAACAUUUCUAAUCAUAUAAUUCAGUACUAUUCACUUAAAGAAGUUAACUCAGGUAAUAGCCACACGAAGAGAUUAAUAGUUGUUUUUUGCUGACAUAAGAUGGUUCCUCCACUUGUACCUUUUCUACUGGGCACAUCACACUUGCUCUAAAUUCCAAAGGUGAAAAAUUAUCAUGGCAAUAAAAUCUUUGUUAUUAACAAAACAACUGGGAGCAUGAAUUAAGCUAUCAGAGAUGGGAAAGGUGUGAAAUAGGUGCCUAUUGUUCAUGCCAUGGGAGAGCAGCCUUAAACUCUUCAAAGCCAGAAAGGCUUCCCAGGUACAGUAAUUUACUGCCGGAUCGUGAAAACAACAAAGUUGAGGAGUCAGAAGGGCAUGAGAAGGAAUUAUCCAAAAAAGUAUUAAGAAGAUAUUUUUUUAGCCAACCUGAUAUGCUCCGGGGUUGAGCACCGACCCAGGAACCAAGUGGUCACUGGUCAUAUGCCUGGGUUGCUGGGCUUGAUCCCCAGUGGAGUGCAUGCAGGAGGCAGCCGAUUGAUGAUGUUCCUCUCUCACCCAUGUUUCUAUCUCUCUAUCCCUCUCCCUUCCUCUCUCUCUAACAAAAUCAAUAAAGAUAUAUUUAAAAAAAAGAUGUUUUAUGGUUUCAUAAAGUACAGAGUAUUUAUCACAAGAAAUAAACUUUAAAUUAGUGUCUAAGAAAUGUAGUACCAUUAGUUUGUUAUUAGUACUAUUAUGGUAUGUGUGUGUGUGUGUGUUUAGAAACAAUAGUAAAGUUCAAUGUAAUGCUGUCAUUGAGCUUUUUGGGCUUGCCUUCUAGUCGAAGUAAAAAUCAUCCUACAAAUAGAAGUCAAAGAAUUCUGAGGAAAUCACUAUGAAAAGGAAAAAAAAGAGCUAGAAGCCCAGGUUAAUCUUCUAAUUCAUAAAAAGGUACAGAAUAAAUGAAUGAUUUGAAUUGUUAGUAUUGUUAUUAUGACUAUUCUAGAGUCAGCUAGGAGUGAACAAUCUAACAUUCUUAGGCUAUUCAUUUUGCACAUGCUCGGUUUUUGUGGCAAUAUGAUUGCAUAUACCAUAACUUAAAUAUCAAUAUUAAUGAUAAUAUGCUUUCACAAUUUAGGCUCCCACUUCAAAAUUUGAUAUCACACUUUAUUCCUAAUGACGAAUAUAUUCAGCAAAAAAACUGGACUGCUGUCCAGCUGGGUUCGGGCUUCAUUCACCCUUUAGAAAGAUAACCACCAUCAACUCUAAUUGUAUAGAUUUACUGCAGCCUGGUUUCUCUGUUACAAUAAAAUUACUGUCGACCCAAAAA